rnacentral:misc_RNA from 1 species
CAGGAGAGCAAACGCAG